AUGACUGGGAACUUGAGCAAAAUAGAGCAGGAAGAGGGAAAAAGAGGAAGGAAAGGCAACCAACUGUGUCUGCUGCAGAUUACGACCGCUGCAAGGCUACCCCACCCCAGAAGACAUUGGGAAGGCAGCCAUCUGCAAACCAGGAAGAGGGCAUCACCUGAGCCCAACCAGGCUGGCACCCUGACUUCAGAAUUCCGGCCUCUAGAAUGGUGAGAAAAUUACUUCCUGUUGGCCAGGGCACCCUCUGUAUGGCAGUUUGCUAUGGGGGCCUGAGCUGGCUAAUACAGGGACUCCAUU
rnacentral:lncRNA from 1 species